rnacentral:rRNA from 1 species
GAUUUGAUCCUGGCUCAGGACGAACGCUGGCGGCGUGCUUAACACAUGCAAGUCGAGCGAUGAAGCUCCUUCGGGAGUGGAUUAGCGGCGGACGGGUGAGUAACACGUGGGUAACCUGCCUCAUAGAGGGGAAUAGCCUUCCGAAAGGAAGAUUAAUACCGCAUAAGAUUGUAGUUUCGCAUGAAACAGCAAUUAAAGGAGCAAUCCGCUACGAGAUGGACCCGCGUCGCAUUAGCUAGUUGGUGAGGUAACUGCUCACCAAGGCGACGAUGCGUAGCCGAGGGGAGAGGGUGAUCGGCCACAUUGGGACUGACACACGGCCCAGACUCCUACGGGAGGCAGCAGUGGCGAAUAUUGGGCAAUGGGGGAAACUAUGGUGCAGCGGCGGG